CCUACGGGAGGCAGCAGUAAGGAAUAUUGGACAAUGGAGGCAACUCUGAUCCAGCCAUGCCGCGUGAAGGAAGACGGCCUUAUGGGUUGUAAACUUCUUUUAUACAGGAAGAAACCUUUCCACGUGUGGAAAGUUGACGGUACUGUAAGAAUAAGGAUCGGCUAACUCCGUGCCAGCAGCCGCGGUAAUACGGAGGAUCCAAGCGUUAUCCGGAAUUAUUGGGUUUAAAGGGUCCGCAGGCUGUUUGUUAAGUCAGAGGUGAAAUCCUACCGCUCAACGGUAGAACUGCCUUUGAUACUGGCAAACUUGAGUUAUUGUGAAGUAGUUAGAAUGUGUAGUGUAGCGGUGAAAUGCAUAGAUAUUACACAGAAUACCGAUUGCGAAAGCAGAUUACUAACAAUAUACUGACGCUGAGGGACGAAAGCGUGGGUAGCGAACAGGAUUAGAUACCCUGGUAGUCCACGCCGUAAACGAUGGUCACUAGCUGUUCGACGUACAUUGGUACGUUGAGUGGCUAAGCGAAAGUGAUAAGUGACCCACCUGGGGAGUACGCUCGCAAGAGUGAAACUCAAAGGAAUUGACGG
rnacentral:rRNA from 1 species